rnacentral:ncRNA from 1 species
AGCAUAUUGGUAGCAGAAAGCCAAGGGCGGUAGCGU